ACCCCUGUGGCCCAAUCGGCAGAGGCAGCGCGUUCAGGACGCGUCCGGUCCGGGUUCGAGUCCCGGCAGGGGUA
rfam:Actinosynnema mirum DSM 43827, complete genome.